rnacentral:rRNA from 1 species
GAUGAACGCUGGCGGCGUGCCUAAUACAUGCAAGUCGAGCGAACGGACGAGAAGCUUGCUUCUCUGAUGUUAGCGGCGGACGGGUGAGUAACACGUGGAUAACCUACCUAUAAGACUGGGAUAACUUCGGGAAACCGGAGCUAAUACCGGAUAAUAUUUUGAACCGCAUGGUUCAAAAGUGAAAGACGGUCUUGCUGUCACUUAUAGAUGGAUCCGCGCUGCAUUAGCUAGUUGGUAAGGUAACGGCUUACCAAGGCAACGAUGCAUAGCCGACCUGAGAGGGUGAUCGGCCACACUGGAACUGAGACACGGUCCAGACUCCUACGGGAGGCAGCAGUAGGGAAUCUUCCGCAAUGGGCGAAAGCCUGACGGAGCAACGCCGCGUGAGUGAUGAAGGUCUUCGGAUCGUAAAACUCUGUUAUUAGGGAAGAACAUAUGUGUAAGUAACUGUGCACAUCUUGACGGUACCUAAUCAGAAAGCCACGGCUAACUACGUGCCAGCAGCCGCGGUAAUACGUAGGUGGCAAGCGUUAUCCGGAAUUAUUGGGCGUAAAGCGCGCGUAGGCGGGUUUUUAAGUCUGAUGUGAAAGCCCACGGCUCAACCGUGGAGGGUCAUUGGAAACUGGAAAACUUGAGUGCAGAAGAGGAAAGUGGAAUUCCAUGUGUAGCGGUGAAAUGCGCAGAGAUAUGGAGGAACACCAGUGGCGAAGGCGACUUUCUGGUCUGUAACUGACGCUGAUGUGCGAAAGCGUGGGGAUCAAACAGGAUUAGAUACCCUGGUAGUCCACGCCGUAAACGAUGAGUGCUAAGUGUUAGGGGGUUUCCGCCCCUUAGUGCUGCAGCUAACGCAUUAAGCACUCCGCCUGGGGAGUACGACCGCAAGGUUGAAACUCAAAGGAAUUGACGGGGACCCGCACAAGCGGUGGAGCAUGUGGUUUAAUUCGAAGCAACGCGAAGAACCUUACCAAAUCUUGACAUCCUUUGACAACUCUAGAGAUAGAGCCUUCCCCUUCGGGGGACAAAGUGACAGGUGGUGCAUGGUUGUCGUCAGCUCGUGUCGUGAGAUGUUGGGUUAAGUCCCGCAACGAGCGCAACCCUUAAGCUUAGUUGCCAUCAUUAAGUUGGGCACUCUAAGUUGACUGCCGGUGACAAACCGGAGGAAGGUGGGGAUGACGUCAAAUCAUCAUGCCCCUUAUGAUUUGGGCUACACACGUGCUACAAUGGACAAUACAAAGGGCAGCGAAACCGCGAGGUCAAGCAAAUCCCAUAAAGUUGUUCUCAGUUCGGAUUGUAGUCUGCAACUCGACUGCAUGAAGCUGGAAUCGCUAGUAAUCGUAGAUCAGCAUGCUACGGUGAAUACGUUCCCGGGUCU